rnacentral:rRNA from 1 species
AGAGUUUGAUCAUGGCUCAGAACGUACGCUGGCGGCACGCCUAACACAUGCAAGUCGAACGAAGUAGCAAUACUUAGUGGCAGACGGGUGAGUAACAUGUAGGUAUCUGCCCUUUGGCCUGGAAUAACACGAGGAAACUUGUGCUAAUACCGGAUAAGUCUUUACGGAGAAAGCUUUAUGCACCAUUGGAUGAGCCUGCACUUGAUUAGUUUGUUGGUGGGGUAAUGGCCUACCAAGACUGUGAUCAAUAGCUGAUUUGAGAGGAUGAUCAGCCACAUUGGGACUGAGACACGGCCCAAACUCCUACGGGAGGCAGCAGUGGGGAAUCUUGCACAAUGGAGGAAACUCUGAUGCAGCGAUGCCGCGUGAGUGAAGAAGGCCCUUGGGUUGUAAAGCUCUUUCGUCGGGGAAGAAAAUGACUGUACCCGAAUAAGAAGGUCCGGCUAACUUCGUGCCAGCAGCCGCGGUAAUACGAAGGGACCUAGCGUAGUUCGGAAUUACUGGGCUUAAAGAGUUCGUAGGUGGUUGAAAAAGUUAGUGGUGAAAUCCCAGAGCUUAACUCUGGAACUGCCAUUAAAACUUUUCAGCUAGAGUAUGAUAGAGGAAAGCAGAAUUUCUAGUGUAGAGGUGAAAUUCGUAGAUAUUAGAAAGAAUACCAAUUGCGAAGGCAGCUUUCUGGAUCAUUACUGACACUGAGGAACGAAAGCAUGGGUAGCGAAGAGGAUUAGAUACCCUCGUAGUCCAUGCCGUAAACGAUGUGUGUUAGACGUUGGAAAUUUAUUUUCAGUGUCGCAGGGAAACCGAUAAACACACCGCCUGGGGAGUACGACCGCAAGGUUAAAACUCAAAUGAAUUGACGGGGACCCGCACAAGUAGUGGAGCAUGUGGUUUAAUUCGAA